UUACAAAGCAGUCAAGGUUUUUUUUUAACAAUGAUGUCAAAAAGCAUUUGUCUGUUCAUUAUUGUAGUGAUUUUAACUCAAGGUAUCAGUGGUGAUGAAAUCCGGUUGGAUCAGUCGUCUGCUGAGAUAAAGAGACUUGGAGAAACAGUGAAGAUCUCCUGUAAAAUAUCUGGUUUUUCAAUGACAAGCUACUGGAUGCACUGGAUACGACAGAAACCAGGGAAAGCUCUGGAGUGGAUUGGGGGAGUGAACUCUGGCAGGAGUUCUAGCUCUGAUUAUCUUAUUUAUGCAGACUCCAUGAAAAAUCACUUCACUAUGAGUGAGGACGUGUCUCAAAGUACACAGUAUCUUGAAGCCAAGAGUCUGAGAGAAGAGGACACUGCUGUUUAUUACUGUGCUCGACAGACACACUGACUCCAUCUGAUGAAGCAGCUCUACAAGAACUGACAGUAACUGAAGUGAGAAGAUUUCAAUUAGCUUGAUACCUCAAUCCACAUGAACAUUACAACAAAUUUAAUCUUGAUUGCAAUAAAAAUGUGUACAUUUUAGCUU